rnacentral:rRNA from 1 species
CAAUAGCGUAUAUUAAAGUUGUUGCAGUUAAAAAGCUCGUAGUUGGAUUUCGGGGCAGCCUGGCUGGUCCGCCGCAAGGCGAGUACUGGUCGGCCGCCCUUCCUCUCGAAAGCCCCGACUGCUCUUCGUUGCAGUGGUCGGGUAGUUCGGGACGUUUACUUUGAAAAAAUUAGAGUGUUCAAGGCAGGCCUACGCCUGAAUACAUUAGCAUGGAAUAAUGGAAGAGGACCUCGGUCCUAUUUUGUUGGUUUCCAGGGCCGAAGUAAUGAUUAAGAGGGACAGUUGGGGGCAUUCGUAUUUAAUUGUCAGAGGUGAAAUUCUCGGAUUUAUGAAAGACGAACAACUGCGAAAGCAUUUGCCAAGGAUGUUUUCAUUAA